rnacentral:rRNA from 1 species
UACGUAGGGUGCAAGCGUUGUCCGGAAUUAUUGGGCGUAAAGAGCUCGUAGGCGGUCUGUCGCGUCGGAUGUGAAAAUCAGGGCUCAACCCUGGACCUGCGUUCGAUACGGGCAGACUAGAGUUCGGUAGGGGAGACUGGAAUUCCUGGUGUAGCGGUGAAAUGCGCAGAUAUCAGGAGGAACACCGAUGGCGAAGGCAGCUCUCUGGGACGGUACUGACGCUGAGACGCGAAAGCGUGGGGAGCGAACAGG